UCGCCUGUUUAUCAAAAACAUCGCCUCUUGCCAACAAAUGAAGUAUUAGAGGUCCCGCCUGCCCUGUGACCAAAGUGUUUAACGGCCGCGGUAUCCUGACCGUGCGAAGGUAGCGUAAUCAUUUGUCUUUUAAAUAAAGACCAGUAUGAAUGGCAUCACGAGGGUUUAACUGUCUCCUUCCCCCAGUCAAUGAAAUUGAUCUGCCCGUGCAGAAGCGGACAUAAAAACAUAAGACGAGAAGACCCUAUGGAGCUUUAGGCAAAAGUCACACAUGUACAAAGACCCGAAAAACAAUAAAAGGCCCAAUUAAACCAAAUGUAAAAUGACUUAAUGCCUUCGGUUGGGGCGACCAUGGAGGAAAAUAAAGCCUCCACAUGGAAUGGGGACACCCCCCUAAACCAAGAAAGACAAUUCUAAGUAACAGAACAUCUGACCAAAAAUGACCCAGGACCCAAUCCUGAUCAAUGAACCAAGUUACCCUAGGGAUAACAGCGCAAUCCUUUCCCAGAGCCCAUAUCGACGAAAGGGUUUACGACCUCGAUGUUGGAUCAGGACAUCCUAAUAGUGCAGCCGCUAUUAAGGGUUCGUUUGUUCAACGAUUAAUAGUCCUACGUGAUCUGAGUUCAGACCGG
rnacentral:rRNA from 1 species